rnacentral:rRNA from 1 species
GACGAGCGCUGGCGGCGUGCUUAACACAUGCAAGUCGAACGGAAAGGCCCUUCUUUUGUGGUGUGCUCGAGUGGCGAAAGGGUGAGUAACACGUGAUUAACCUGCCCUUGACUUUGGGAUAACUUCAGGAAACUGGGGCUAAUACCGGAUAGGAUCUCCUGCUGCAUGGUGGGGGUUGGAAAUUUUCGGCGGUUGGGGAUGGACUCGCGGCUUAUCAGCUUGUUGGUGGGGUAGUGGCUUACCAAGGCUUUGACGGGUAGCCGGCCUGAGAGGGUGACCGGCCACAUUGGGACUGAGAUACGGCCCAGACUCCUACGGGAGGCAGCAGUGGGGAAUAUUGCACAAUGGGCGGAAGCCUGAUGCAGCAACGCCGCGUGCGGGAUGACGGCCUUCGGGUUGUAAACCGCUUUCGCCUGUGACGAAGCGUGAGUGACGGUAAUGGGUAAAGAAGCACCGGCUAACUACGUG